UGUAGGUGUUUAUGGAAUUUGUGCUAGGUAAUAUUUGCUGCACUUGCGGUUACAAAUUUGCUUCGAUUUCUGCUCCAAUUUGCACCUUUAAUUGCCUUUGGCGGACUGCUAUCUGCUCCUAGUUGUGGUUGCCAUUUUCUUCAAAUUAUUGCUGCCAUUGAUGCUAUUUUAUUUCCUACCUAAACUCCUUUACUUUACUACUACCAAUUAUUUGCUUUAAGGUUAGUUUAUUAAUAGAUUUUUUUUCUUUCUAUUAAAAAAAAUUGGAUGUUUGUAAGGCCCAAUUUUGGCCCAGGCUAAAUAGUCCCAAACAAAACAAUUGUUAACUGUCCUUCUUACAACUUAAGACCCCAAAGCCAUUACAUCAAUCCAAACCUCAAACUCAAUUAAACUCAGCCAAAUUUACAACCCAAUAGACCCAAACUAAAAAACCCUCACCCAAAAAUGGCCCAAAACCUAAAGCCAACUCAGAAACGAAACCCUAGAGGCUCCCAUGUGCGCCGCUCAUCCUCGGGCGCAUCACCUGCCCCUCGUCCCAAGGUCCAUCUGCGACCUUGCACCGAAGAGGAAAAUUUCUUCAUCGUUGACUCCUCAAGAACCUGCAAAGGAAGACCGAGAAAGCAAAAACAGGACAGAAGAACUGUAGCAGAAAUAAAAAGAAAAUAAUAGUAGCGUAAAAUCUUCUGUAAAUCGGCUAUAAAGCCAAAGAAUCCAUCGUAUUGUUUUUUACACGAACACAAACUCUUGAAUAGAAAAAAAGAAAGCAAUCAGAAGCUAAUACUUCAAAGGUGCCAUUUUUAUUUUUUUUGUAUUACUUGGAAUAAAAGUAUGAAUAAUAUAUAUAUAAAAACCUCAUAGAUGGUUCGUUCUCCGUCGUGGUUGAGCACUUCCAAUAACCCAAACUUCACAAGACCCACUCGGGUUCCGACGAGGGUUGGAAGAGAGUCGAGAAUUGAGAUCGUUUUUUUCGCUUUGCGAUUCACCCUUUUUUCGUUUUUCUUUGAUAUUUUUUUUUAAAAAAAAUCUAACCUAGAUCUCUAAAAGGAAGGGGAUACGAAAGGCCACGGCUGAGCCAUGGUCGAGGCUCGCCGGAGCCAGGCUCGAUGCUAGGCCAGAGCAAUAGUCGGACCAGAGAGAAAAGAGUAAAAGCUUUUCUUUUUUUUUGAAACUAAGGUUAAAAUAAGG
rnacentral:lncRNA from 1 species